rnacentral:ribozyme from 13 species
UUUUUUUUUUUUUUUUUUUUUUUUUUUUUUUUUUUUUUUUUUUUC